CCGAAAUAAAAAUCUGUGAACUUGCAACAUAUUGUUAUAUUAAUCUAUAAUUCAACAAUAUACCUAUGGGACAUUUCGUCUAAACACCUAAGUAACAUACAUUGAUCUUCUGAGAGAAAGAUUGCAUUGAACCAUCAUUACUGAGAAAAAAUUCGGGUGCGCGCAGUGCUGUAGGCCGGAGCACAGCGCGGCGCGCGGCAGACAUGCGGCUCCGCACGGCAGCGCGCCGCCCGGACAUGCCGCGCCCUCCGCCGCCGACACCUCCGUCCACACGGCGCGCCAGCCGCUGCCGCCCACGGACUUGUCCGCUAUUAUGAACCUGGAACGGUGCGAUACACCCGCUGAGCUUCGCGCCGAAUCCUCUCAAUGGGAUGCGAUUCCGAUACGGCACUAAACUCCGCAAAAUACGAAGUUCUGUGCUCUCGCCUACCAGCCCGGAAAAGUCGGGAUAGUUCUUCGAAGCUACCAGCGAUUAAGUAGGAGAAAAUAAAUGUGUAAUACCACGCGCUGCACGUACACUGGUAGCGGCAUCUAGCGAUUACUAGAGGAAAUAUCUAUAAAAUAAACCUUUGGAGCCAGUAAAACUAUAAAUCGUGUACAGUUUCCAAGAUAACUCAACUAAAACGUAUAAUUUACAACAAGAUCAUUCAAAAAUUUAAAACAUUACUUUUAUCAUAAUUUAUGAGACUUAAUUAGAUGUAACAAAACAGCAAUUUCAAAUUAA